UAAUGAAACGUUGAGUUCAAGCAGUUGUGUGUUUACUGAAGGAGUAUACCAGCAAAGAAGGCUUCAUUUCUCCAUAUUAGAAGCAAGUGGAGUUAGGGCUCGUGAAGAAAAUUUCCCCAAUUCUCUCUACCCUCGAGCUAGGGUUCCAGCAGAGAGAAGUGUUGCAACGAAGCAACAAUGCGAUUUCUAUGGGUCAAGUUGGAAGUCAAUCAGAGAUUCACGGCCCAAGAGGAAGACGACCCAGGAGCUAAUCGGACCAGAGAAACAGAUCGGAAGUGUGCUGAGCUGGAACAGUUGGAGACCAGGUUCAGAGUCAGUUGAAGGAUACUCCAGAAACUUCAGAGUUUGUUUUCAGAUUCUUCCC
rnacentral:lncRNA from 1 species